UGGGGAAUAUUGCACAAUGGGCGCAAGCCUGAUGCAGCCAUGCCGCGUGUGUGAAGAAGGCCUUCGGGUUGUAAAGCACUUUCAGCGGGGAGGAAGGCGUUAAGGUUAAUAACCUUGGCGAUUGACGUUACCCGCAGAAGAAGCACCGGCUAACUCCGUGCCAGCAGCCGCGGUAAUACGGAGGGUGCAAGCGUUAAUCGGAAUUACUGGGCGUAAAGCGCACGCAGGCGGUCUGUCAAGUCGGAUGUGAAAUCCCCGGGCUCAACCUGGGUACUGCAUUCGAAACUGGCAGGCUAGAGUCUUGUAGAGGGGGGUAGAAUUCCAGGUGUAGCGGUGAAAUGCGUAGAGAUCUGGAGGAAUACCGGUGGCGAAGGCGGCCCCCUGGACAAAGACUGACGCUCAGGUGCGAAAGCGUGGGGAGCAAACAGG
rnacentral:rRNA from 1 species